AAAGCUGCCGACCUGAGAGACUCUCCGUACUGCGUUGGGGGCGUCUUGAAGCCGUUUGCACGUGCCUCACCACGCGAUGUGGUUCGGGCGAAGGCGACUGGGCGACUGUCUCGGAGAAUGGGCAAAGUCCGCCGUCACGAGAAGUGCUGUAGCGCCUCUUCGCUUCAGCUCCACAUCGUCUUUGACAGUGACUUCUAGUGCGGCAGUCGCGCCUGUCGACCUCUCCUACACUUGCCGUCUGCUCGACUCCAUUUGUGGCGAGCAGCAGUCGGAACCGGUGAAGCGCAAACGUGUGCGCGGGGCGGUGCACAGGAUGGAGUCGUCGGUAGUGGACAGCUUCGCUGCAGCCACCGUGUCCUUGACGGCUCCGCAGAGACGCGACCUUAUGCGUCACUGGCUGCGAAGCUUGGCAGCUGCGGUGAAGUACCUCCCUCGGAAAGAGACCUCUCUGAGCGCGUCCGAGGGCGUCGAUGCUGACCGCUUCUCGCCGCGAUCGUCGCGACGUGCGCGCCAUGGCGCGCACGACGGUGAGACUUGGUCGGGUGCCUCACCGUACUUUUCUCUCCCAACCAGUGAUCUUCUGUGUCUCUGCCUGCGCGAGUGUGCGAUGGCUGACCCAACAACCGGGCCCGAUGUGCUGCGCGAGUUGCUCCUCUGCGCAGUGAAGCUGGAGCUUGGUGAGGUGGACGUUCUGAAGCACAUUGUCCACGUCCUCACGAGCACCAAUAUGUGCCGUCAUCGCACUUCCUCGGAGCAGGUGGAGCUGCUAAACAUGGUGUCGCUCGCAGUGAAGCGGUGCAAGCUACCCCUGCCACCUCUUGAUCGCGUCCUCUGUGUCCUCGUGGGGGCAACGCUAAGCGCCCGCGAGAACCUUGUGGUGCUUUCCUGUAUUCACCGCUUACAGCACAUACACGCCGCGGACACGGUUGCCGCGGUUUCGCGAAGGGCCGCCACGCAGACUGGUGAGUACAACAUCAAGGAUGUGGUGUAUGGGCUGGAGGUCGCAGCGCUGCUCCCCGGCUGUAAUGAGAUCUUUGCGGCGGGUGUACUACUGCGCGCAGGCGAGUUAGCACCACACAUGUCUCCGAAGGAGCUGGGCGCCGUGUGCAAGUAUGUGGCGCUGCUCAACCCCUCUCGGAGGCAAAACACACUUUCCUACUCAUGUGGCAGGGAGCUGCGCGCGCUACUGCCGCUGCUGGUGGAGCGGACGGAGCGUCUGCUAGGUCACUUCCGCUUCCACGAGGCACGACACGUGCUCCGCUGCUUCCGCGAACACAAGGUGCGCCAUUCCCUCAUCUUCUCCCGUCUCACCCCGAUGGCCGAGGAUGGCUGAUGUGCAAGGGAAAAGGCUCUCAGAGGCGACAGUUUCUCUGUCACGGUCACCUUAAUGCGACGCCGAAAUGUGGCAACCCUGGCGCAGAGGCGAUAGUGCCAGACGGCGCAAGGAGUGGAAGAUGAGAGGCUCUCUCCGGUGUAUUGUCAGAUCGCUCUACGUUGCGAUAUCUGUUCCGAUGCGCCGGCCAGAAGUACUCAUGAACGUGGCUGAGUGAAAGCCGGGGGGGGGUGGCGACUGCACACCGUUGCUUCAAGCAGAGAUGGCAAGGAGUGCAGAGAAGGAUUCAUCUGCUAUGCUCCCCGAGUGCUGUGUCUGCCACGUUGUCGUAGCCCACCCACCGACCCCCCUUCAUCCUCAGCCAUCCCCUACGACGCGGC
rnacentral:misc_RNA from 1 species